UACAGUCAUAUCACAUUGAAACACUGGUUUUCAUCCAAUCACCAAAGUUAAGCAACACUGAGCCUAGUCAGUACCUUGAUGGGUGACCACUUGGGAAUACCUGGCAGAUG